CGGAAUUUGGCCCUCCCUGCGGCGAGUGAAGCGGCAAAAGCUCAAAUUUGAAAUCUGGCGUCUUUGGCGUCCGAGUUGUAAUUUGAAGAAGGUAUCUUUGGGCCCGGCUCUUGUCUAUGUUCCUUGGAACAGGACGUCACAGAGGGUGAGAAUCCCGUGCGAUGAGAUGACCCGGGUCUGUGUAAAGUUCCUUCGACGAGUCGAGUUGUUUGGGAAUGCAGCUCUAAGUGGGUGGUAAAUUCCAUCUAAAGCUAAAUAUUGGCGAGAGACCGAUAGCGAACAAGUACAGUGAUGGAAAGAUGAAAAGAACUUUGAAAAGAGAGUGAAAAAGUACGUGAAAUUGUUGAAAGGGAAGGGCUUGAGAUCAGACUUGGUAUUUUGCAUGCUGCUCUCUCGGGGGCGGCCGCUGCGGUUUACCGGGCCAGCAUCGGUUUGGAGCGGCAGGAUAAUGGCGGAGGAAUGUGGCACGGCUUCUGCUGUGUGUUAUAGCCUCUGACGAUACUGCCAGCCUAGACCGAGGACUGCGGUUUUUAACCUAGGAUGUUGGCAUAAUGAUCUUAAGUCGCCCGUCUUGAAUCCCGGGAACCA
rnacentral:rRNA from 1 species